rnacentral:tRNA from 1 species
CAGUAGCUCAGUUGGUUAGAGCAGCUGACUGUUAAUCAGGGGGUCGUUGGUUCAAGCCCAUCCU